rnacentral:rRNA from 1 species
UACAGAGGUGGCAAGCGUUGUUCGGAAUUACUGGGCGUAAAGGGCGCGUAGGCGGCCUUCUAAGUCAGACGUGAAAUCCCCAGGCUUAACUUGGGAACUGCGUCUGAUACUGGAAGGCUUGAGUGCGGGAGAGGGAUGUGGAAUUCCAGGUGUAGCGGUGAAAUGCGUAGAUAUCUGGAGGAACACCGGUGGCGAAGGCGGCAUCCUGGACCAACACUGACGCUGAGGAGCGAAAGCCAGGGGAGCAAACGGG